rnacentral:lncRNA from 1 species
GCGGAAUUUCGACUAGGAUAGUUGGUUUCUAGCUACGCCCGACGUAGUCACCUUACAUUUGAAAGAAAAUAAGAAAUUACUUUGCAAACCUUUUCACCAUGUUCACCAAUUAAACGAGCUAAAAACUUAUUUUUAUCAUUAUUAUUCAUGACGGCGAUGUUCAUUUUGUUCAACCGCUAGCUUUAUACAGAAAAUCACCGACAAAUAUUGUAUAAAUACGAUUAAAAUCGUAUCUGAUUGACAAAAA